GCCGGAAUAGCUCAGUUGGGAGAGCGUCAGACUGAAGAUCUGAAGGUCCCUGGUUUAAUCCCGGGUUCCGGAA
rnacentral:tRNA from 1 species